rnacentral:rRNA from 1 species
AGUGAACGCUGGCGGUAGGCCUAACACAUGCAAGUCGAACGGCAGCACAGUAAGAGCUUGCUCUUACGGGUGGCGAGUGGCGGACGGGUGAGGAAUACAUCGGAAUCUACUUUUUCGUGGGGGAUAACGUAGGGAAAUUUACGCUAAUACCGCAUACGACCUACGGGUGAAAGCAGGGGAUCUUCGGACCUUGCGCGAUUGAAUGAGCCGAUGUCGGAUUAGCUAGUUGGCGGGGUAAAGGCCCACCAAGGCGACGAUCCGUAGCUGGUCUGAGAGGAUGAUCAGCCACACUGGAACUGAGACACGGUCCAGACUCCUACGGGAGGCAGCAGUGGGGAAUAUUGGACAAUGGGCGCAAGCCUGAUCCAGCCAUACCGCGUGGGUGAAGAAGGCCUUCGGGUUGUAAAGCCCUUUUGUUGGGAAAGAAAAGCAGCACGUUAAUACCCCGCUGUUCUGACGGUACCCAAAGAAUAAGCACCGGCUAACUUCGUG